UGACCCCUGUGGUCCCUCCCAGCCUGACCCAUUCUGGGAUUCUCUGUGGCACCUACACUCACGUGGCAGCAUUUCCCCUCUUGUCCAGAAAACCAUUUGAGAUGUUCAGAAUUGUAACUGUCUCAUACACUGGUGAGUGUGAGAGCAGGAAUCCCAGCCUGAGGGAUGUUUUGGACUAAAAGGAUGGAAUUACCUUGGAUGAUGAGAACCAGAAAGAAGAGCUCUCAGAAUUGUGUCUCUGGACAAUGUGCUGCUUCAGUCAUGUCUGUGUUAAGGCAAAUGAGGAAGUGGAGUAGCCUGCCCAGCCUCUUCAGAGAAACAGGAACUUGUGCUAGAGCUGCUCUCUGUGGGUGAAAUAAUCUGGACCUGCUGCACCUGAAGUCCACAGGCUGUUAUGUGAGUGGACUGGCAUUAUCUCU